UACAGAGGUCUCAAGCGUUGUUCGGAUUCAUUGGGUGUAAAGGGUGCUCAGGCGGACUUGUAAGUCAGAGGUGAAACUCCGAGGCUCAACCUCGGAACUGCCUUUGAUACUGCAAGUCUCGAGUACGGGAGAGGGUAAUGGAAUAACAGGUGUAGCAGUGAAAUGCGUAGAUAUCUGUUAGAACACCAAUGGCGAAGGCAGUUGCCUGGCCCGUUACUGACGCUAAAGCACGAAAGUGUGGGUAGCAAACAGG
rnacentral:rRNA from 1 species